GGAUUAGAUACCCUGGUAGUCCACGCCGUAAACGAUGUCUGCUAGCCGUUGGGGUACUUGAUACUUUAGUGGCGCAGCUAACGCAAUAAGCAGACCGCCUGGGGAGUACGGCCGCAAGGUUAAAACUCAAAUGAAUUGACGGGGGCCCGCACAAGCGGUGGAGCAUGUGGUUUAAUUCGAUGCAACGCGAAGAACCUUACCAGGCCUUGACAUCCUGAGAACUUCCUAGAGAUAGGUUGGUGCCUUCGGGAACUCAGUGACAGGUGCUGCAUGGCUGUCGUCAGCUCGUGCCG
rnacentral:rRNA from 1 species